UCGGCAAUCCAAUCGUCAGACGAUGGCCGGAAAACCAAAGAUUGAACGAAGUCAAGCCCAAAGAAACCCAAAAGGUAAAUAAACGAUGCGAAAAACGCGAGAAUCGCGAUGAUCUCAGAAAAGGUGACGACAUGGAGAGGCGUGGAGGUACGGAUCUUCUCACGCCAACGGGAAAGAAGGAAAUAAACCACCGAGAAGAAGAGGGUAAAGAACACCGCAUUCGUCAGAUGAAAAGGAAGCGGCAAUGCGUCGGAGGCUUUAGUGGGAUCUUCCUCUAAAGGAAUCUUCUUCGUGGGCUUGAGAGAUUGAACUCGUUUAGUCGAAUACAGCCGGGGAGCCUCCAUUUUGGGUGUCGACGGCGGCGGAAACCCGGCGGUGGAGGAGGAGAAUAGAAGAGGAAUGAAAGUAAGAGAUGAUUUCAGUUAGUUUUACGAUUAUGGUGAAGGUGGAGCUUGAGAUGCUAGAGUUUAGGGAGGGAAGGGGAGUAUUUAUAGGAUAAAGAGUAAAGAGAGCGUGAGGAAAAAGGCGCGUGAAGUGAAGAUGGGGCAGUGUUUGGCACUUGUUAGUGUGGAGCUUUACCAAGAGAAGAGUCAAAGAAAGAAUUAUAGGGAUAGUGUUUGGAAGCGUGCAGUGCAUGGGAGCAACGUCGUCAGCACAUCCUGGCUGCUUCAUUUUCAUUUAGGGUAAACUACACAAUCAGUCACUAAAGUAUGGGUACGUUUUUGUUUUGAUCACUGAACUAAAAAAGUUACAAUUUUGUUACUGAACUAUUCAAAAGUUUCCAUUUAAGUCACUGAGCUGUUAAAAUCGAUGCUACACAGCUUUUUCUCUUCACACUGCCUACAUGAAUCGGAAGUUCUCUUUCCCUUUCUUUUUUACGAUUCAAUUUUUUUCUACAACUUUUUUCUUCGUUAGAAAAUGACCUUCAGAUCGACUUGAAUCUAAGAUAUGUUCUUUUACUUGCUAAUGGGUAUUGAUCCACUGUACCAGUCGUUGAGUCGUCACUUGGAGCUCGUUGACAGAAUUUUUAAAAAAAAAUAGUUAACAACCUAGUGACUUAAACAAUUUUUUUUGAAUAGUUCAAUGACUUAAAUGAAAAAUUUCAAAUAUUUUAGUGACCAAAUUGUAACUUUUUAGUUAAGUGACCAAAACGAAAACUUAUCCAUAAUUUAGUGACUAAUAAUAUAAUUUUCCAUUCAUUAUAUUUGGUCUUUCUCCCUAUUUUGAUAUUUUCUGUCACGUGUUUUUCAUUAUUGUAUGGGUUUAAUUAUUCCUUAUUUUGGGUUGUUUUUCAUAAUAAAUUAUCCAAAUAAAUAUUAACGCUGUUGUUAAGUUAUAUACAUUUUUGGGCAAAUGUCUAUUAAAAGAAAUAGAAAUGAAAGAAAGUCGUAUUUAUUAUUAGCAUAAUUUUUUUACCUUCCAAAUUUAUAAAAAAAUUAUUUAUUUUAUCUCUUUUAGUCUUUCAAUUUAUUUUUUUAUCAAAUUAUUUCAAAAUGAAUUAAAAAGUUAAAAUUCUUUAACUUUGUUGAUGUUACAUACACGUGGAUUACCAUCUAGAUAACACAUAAAUAUUUAAAAUCUUAAAAACAUUAACAAAUAUAUAUUUUUAUAAUUUUAUACUUUUAUAAUACUUUUAUUGGUUUUUAAAUUUUAAAAAUAGUUUUUAAAAAUAUAUUUUUAAAAUUUUAAAUUUAAAAAAAUUAAUUAAAUACCGGCGUGUUAUCCACGUGACAAUGCACGUGUAUUCAAGUAAGCAAAGUUAAACAACAUCAACUUUUUCAUUCAUUUUGAGGUAAUUUGAUAAAAAAAUUAGUUUAAGAGCUAAAAAAGGACAAAAUUAAAUAGAAAACUAAAAUGACAUUUUUUUGUAAAGUUAAAGAAUCAAAUAAAUUAUUAUGCCUUUAUUAUUUAAUAAAAUUUAUGCAAAGUAGGACUUUGACUUGAAUUCAUAAUUAAUUUUGAUUUUUUCCUUUUGCUCGUAAUUAAUUGGAUAAGUUUAUAAUUUAAAUUAAUAUGUAAAAAAAUUAAAAUAUAGAGCUUUCACAGCUCAUUUUUCCUUUUUAGAUUAUUAUUUUUUUGCAUGUUUAUUAAAUUAAAGUUCAAAUUUGACAUUUUUAAUAUUUUAAUAUAAUCAAAUUAGACCUAUUUUAUAUUAAAUAAAAUCUAACCCAUUCUUUAAUCCUUAAUUUUCACGUUUCUGUAUUUUUUUCCCAUCAAUUCAAGCAGCCUCUUGCUCUGUAGUCAUAUGUAUGUAUAUAUGACAAUAAUUAUUAUUCGGUUUACGUGGACUUUUAUACAAUAAUGAAGAUUUUUUUUAGGGUAAAUUAUUAAAACAUCAUUUCAAAAAUCAAGUGUAAUAAACAAAAUCCUUAAUCCAAUAAUAAUAAUAAUAAUAAAUUGGAUCUUUGAAUUAUCGUUUCUAUCACGACUCUUGAUAAUUAAUUACUGACAUGAUAAGUGAUGUGGUGGGUGACAUGAAACUUUUGAUGAUAUGGUGGUUGAUAUGGAGGACUUAAUUGAUUUUUGUUAUUAUUUUAGGAGGCUUAAUUGAUGUUUAAGGAUUAUAUAACAAUUCUUAAGAAAUUAUUGAAAAUUAUUAAAAAAACAAAAAUGGAAAGAAAAUAUUAAAAUUAUUAUAAAAUUUUAGCUAAAAGUUAUUAAAAUAUUUAAAAAAUGUUGAAAAUUAUACAACUAUAGAAUUUAUUAAAUAUCAUAAAAUUUUAAAACUAUUAUUAAUAUGUUAUGAAAAUAAUGGAAAUAUUAAAUUAAUAUUAUAAAAAAUUUAGAAAUGAUAGGAAAUGAUAUAAAAACAAUUAAAAUGAUAAAAAAAUAAAAAUAAAAAUUAUUGAAAGUAUAAAAAAUUUGAGUUAAGGUAGUGAUUGUAUAGACGAUAAAAAUUUUAUAUGCUUAAAAGUUAAUGACAUGGUUUAUUCUAUUCGUGCCUAAAAACAUUAAUUUAUAAAAUAAUUUAUUUUUAUAAAUAUUAAUAUAUACACUUUUUUAGAUUGAUAUGAUAGAAAAAUCGAAUCGAUUAAAAAUUUUACAAUAAAAUGAUUUAAAAAAAAAAUAAAGAAUGUUUUUUGGGCUACGUAAAAGAAUAUUGAUCACUCUAUAAGACUGGUUUUUUAUAUCCUUUUGCAUAUAUUUUAGUAGAUAAGGGAGAAAUUAUUUUCUUUACGCCUCUGGUUUCUAUACGGCUGAAAUUUUCAUUCAGUCAAUGACAUGAAUUUCAAAAUAGGAUGCCUAUUUAAUUUUUAUAAAUACAAAUGAUUGUACCCAAAUAUAAUAAUUUGCAUGCGUAUAUAUAUUUGAAUAAUUUCUGAUAGUUCUCUUUAAUAUUACUUAUAGUCUAUUCCCAGCUCAUAAAUAGGAGGAUAAUGUGAUUCAGCAUACUCAAACCCACGUCAUCUUGCAUUGAAAACAAUAAUCAUACUAAUCGAACUAAGACUCAAUCAACAAUUUGCAUAAUUCAUGCAAUUGGUGAUUAUUAUAAAACAACAUUCAAUAAAUAUUAAUAUUCAAAUGUUAAAUUUAUAAUUGUUUGUGCUAUUUUAGGUUCCAACAAGUUAAAAAUUCGUGUUGGGUUAGUUUUUUUUAUAUAUAUGUUUCUGGAGAUCUGUUAAAGGAUGCAGUCAAUUAUCAGGAGUCACUCUCGAAGGGUCUUAUCAUAUAAUAGAACACAAUAAUGGUAUUUGUUAAAAUUGGAAUCUAAGAUGGUGAAAAGGAGGAUAGCCACCUUUGACUUAACCUUUUGUACAUUAUGGAUGCGAUGAGUCUCUUGAUUGAUCGAAGUUUAUUGUCAGCCUUUUGUACAUCACAGAUGCAGUGAGUCUCUUGACAGAUAUUUCUUGGUUGACUGGAGUUUAUUGUCAGGUUGGUUUGAUGAUGGCACGAUUAAGAUACAAUUUUCAAUGGUUUGAUCAAGAUGGUACAUUUUUUGUUUGUUUUUGAAUUCUUUUAGAGUUACGAAUAUUUUACAAACAUAUAACAUAUGAGCAUCAAUUUAUAAUUUAUUAUAUCCCAUAUUUUUAUAUUCUUAUUAUUCAUGAUUGCUAUUAAUGAUAUGUUUUCUUUGUACAUAUAUGAAAUAGACGAUAAGAUUGAAGUAAUUUCUUUUUCCAAAAUAAUAAGCAUGCAUGAGAAUUGUUCAUCGCCAUGUGCUAAAGACUUGGACUGUUUGUCAAAGUUCUCUUCAAAAAAAUCAUAUAACUCACAAUGAAAGUUUAUAUAUAUAUAUAUAUAUAUAUAUAUAUAAGCAUAGUCAGGCCAACCAAUGUAGAAAAAAACUAACAUGAUAUCAUCUUUUCUUAUUGCCCAGUAUUUAUUUAGCAAAUAUUGACUGUAAUAUUGUCAUGAUUAGACCAUAUUAUUUUUGGACAAGAACAAGGUCAUUUCCAGUAAAUUCAAAAUAAAAUAUUAACUUAGUUUUAAAAUUAGAUUAAAAAGACAAUGUAACCCAAAAAGUUCAAAUAAGCCCCUAUUUUAAUAAAAUCAGUAGGUUCAAAUUUAAAAUUUCGAACAAAAUUAGGUGUCUAUAUAGAUAUUUUGUUAAAUACCAAAAUUUCCAAUGAAUUAUCAAAAUUUCUAAACUUAUACCAGAAUACCAAAAUUUCUAAAGUAAUAGUUGAUAUACCAAAGAUAUUACGUUAUAUGCCACAAUUUUAAGGGAAUACCAAUAUUUCUAAGCAAUCUCAUUAGAAAUUUUGGUAUACCAAAUCAUGUUACACAAACUUUUACCAAAAUUUCUAAGAGUUCAACAUUUUAGAUCACAAUUUCAAAGUAAAUAUCAAUAUUUCUAAGGAACCUCAUUAGAAAUUUUGGUAUACCAAAAUCAUGUUGCACAAGCCUAUACCAAGAUUUUUAAUGAAAUGCUAAAAUUUCUAAGCGCAUAUCUUUAGAUAUUUUGGUAUACCCAAAUCGCGUUAUAGAAGCUUUUACCAAAAUUUCUAAAAGAAUAGUAAUAUUUCUAAGGAACCUUGCUAGAAAUUUUGGUAUAUCAAAAUCAUGUUACACAAGCCUAUACCAAAAUUUUCUAGUGAAAUACCAAAACUUCUAAGCACAUAUCUUUAGAUAUUUUAGUAUAUGCUUCAAUUUCUAAGGGUACCAAUAUUUCUAUGGAACUUUGUCAAAAAUUUUGGUAUGCCAAAAUCAUUUUACACAAGAUUUUACCAAAAUUUCUUAGAGCUUAACCUUAGAUAUUUUGGUAUGUAGCGCAAUUCUUAAGGGAAUAUCAAUAUUUCUAAACAACCUCGUUAGAAAUUUUGGAAUACUAAAAUUAUGUUACACAAGCCUAUAUUAAUAUCUUUAAUGAAAUAUUGAAGUUUUUAAGAGCUUAUCCUUAGAUGUUUUGACAUAUACCACUUUUUGUAAGGGAAUACCAAUAUUUCUAUAGAACUCUGUUAAAAAUUUUAGUAUACCGAAAUCUAGAUUUACAAACUUAUAUCAAGAAUUCUAACAAAAUACCAAUAUUUCUAAUAGCAUAUCCUUAAAUAAUUUGAUAUAUUCCAAAAUUUAUAAUGGAAGACCAAAAUUUCUAUAACUUUCAAUGAACUACAGUUCUUGGUAAAUCUAUAUACCUAUAUAUAUAUAUAUAUAUAUGAAAGGAAAAACAUCCUCCUUUUCUUGAUAGAUGGCACACCUAAAAUCAAUGGCGGACGUUAUAGAUGGCACACCUACAAUCAAUGGCGGAGUCAAGUAGAGGCUUAGGGGACCAUGACCUCCCAAAGUUUAAUUUUUUUUAAUUUAGUCCUUUGUAAAUAUACUAUGGCCCUUCCUAAAAUAUAAGUAGAUCCUCCUAAAGUUUAAGAUUUUUGCAAUUUCCCCCUUUAUAUAUAUUAUGGUUCUCCUAAAAAUAUAAAUACUCCCCUCCAAUAUUUUUAUAGUAUUAAAAAUAAAAUUAAAAAAAUUAUUCUUGAUAAAAACAAAGAAAAAUAUUCUUGAAGAUGCUAAAUUACUCAUGAUGACUUUUGAAUGAUAUUUUUGUUAAAAAAUAAUAAAUCAAUUGUUAUAUUGAAAUACUCCUUCUUUUGAAUUGAUUGUUUAUAUGUUUAAAUCGAUUGUUACGUAACACGUCUAAUUUUAGCAUGAUCCCCUCCAAAAUUAACAUCUUGGCUCCGCCACUGCCUACAAUACUCCUUUUAUUUUGCAUUCAAUAAAAAAAGUUAAAUUUCAAUUUCGGUUCAUCUAAUAUGCCUAAACUUGAGAUUUAAUAUAUAUACUUUAAUUUCUAACAUAAUUUGGUUUCUAUAUAUUAUUAUAAUAUUAUUAAUCAGUUCAAAUAGUUAAUAUUAUUCACUUUUCAAUUAAAAUAUUAUAUGGUUAUAUAUAAUUUGAAUACCUUAAUAGUCUUGGAGGCUAACAUACAGCUUUUUGUUUCAUUUAAGUUCGUGUCAUUUUUUUAACAUUAUAAGAUAAUGGUCAAAUUUUAUUUUUGGCCUCUAGACUAUGUUAAAACUUGAGAUUAAUCUAUAUACUUUAAUAUUUUACAUAAUUUGGGCUAUCUACUUUUAUAAUGUCAUUAGCUGGUCUAAAUAAUUAAUAUUAUUAACUAUUUUAAUUAAAAUGUUGGGUAAAUUUUUCUUAAGAACAUUAUUUCAAGAAGAAAAAAAUUAUUUUAUCGAAUUUAAAUGAGUGUUUUUAAGAGAAACUCCUAAUCAAUAUUUUUAACAUUAUUUUUAUUGUUACAUGACUAUUAAGGGAAUCUUUUUAUUUUAAAAUGUCCACCAGAGAAUUUAAUAUAAUAAUUUUAUCGAUGGUAACAAUUGAGCUAAAAUUUUUAAUUUGAAAAGUAGAUAAUUAUGUUCUUAAAAAUAAAAGUAAGACUAAAUUUCAAAUGAACAAAGUGUAUCAGGUCUUAGAGUAUAUUUUAAUCUUCAAAUUUUUACUUUAUAAUUUCACACAAAUAAAUAAUCAACUUAACGUGAAGCAUGAGAUGAGAACCUUAUUAGUAUUUUUCAAAAGUUGCUUAAUGCGCUUUAAAAGUUAUCAAGUAUUUUACAUUAAGGCAAAAAAAAAGAGAGAGAGUAAACUACACUCAAUUUCACUAAACUACUAGUAAAUUUACAUUUAGGUUACUCAACUUCAGAAAGUUAUAAAAUGAUCAUUGAACUAUUUGAAAGUUUUCAUUUAACUUGGCGGACUGUUAAAAUCAUUGAUGUAUGGCCUUUCCUAUUUGCAUCGCAAACACCAAUUGAAAGCUUUCCUUCCCUUUCUCUUCUACAUUUCAAUUUUUUUUCAUGAAAUAACUUUGAACGUGACAAAUCUGUAAACAAAAAUCUAAACAGCUUUCUUCUUUAAUCUCUAACACUAAUCGUCAGAUCAACUUGAAUAUAAUGCAUGUUCUUCUACUCAUCAAUUGGUACAGAUCCAUCGUACUGAUCGUUGAACCAUUGCUUGGAGCUCGCUAGCUUGGCCUUUUAAAAAAAAAAAAACCCUUUAUAACCCAAUGACUUAAAUGAGAGUGACCAUUCUGUAAUAUUUUGAAGUUGAGUGAUUUGAAUAUAAACCUACUAAUAGUUAUCUUUGGUUUAGUUUACCCAAAAAUAUAUAUUAUAUAUAGUUAAUAUAUGUCAUAAGUCCCUAUACUAUUCAUAAAAUUGAAAUUUAAUCCAUCUUAAUUUCUAGAAAUUUAAUCCUAUACUUUAAAGAUUUUUCAAAAUUCAAAUUCAAUUGUUAACAUUGUUAAAAUUAUUUUAUUAAAUUCAUGUUCGUUAUAACAUUAUAUUUCUAUCAAGUGAGUUUUUUUUUAAAUGUCACGCCAAUAAAUUUUAAAAAAAAAUAAUGUUAACAAGUGUACCAAUAUUUUGAAAUCUCAAGAGUAGAAGAAUUAAAUUCUUGAAAAUAAAAAGCAUAAGAACUAAAUUUGAAAUUUAUGAAGAGUACAAUGAUUUAUGACAUAUAUAAACCUAUAUAUAAUAAAAGAAAGGAAAAAACAAAAAUACCAAAUAAAUACCAACAAGUGUUAAGGACAACAUAUCGCAUAGGAGACACAAGUUUAAAUUUUGAACACAAUAUAGUUAGGAGAAGCAGCCAUAAACCCAAACACAAACAGUAAAAGGGACAUUUAAAAUACCAAAAAAAUUACAAAAUAAAUAAAAAAAAACUACAAAGGGAAGUUUAUGCUGCAAGAGAUGAAACGCUGUGGACCAACUAAUUUUUACUCGUCAACUAAUUGGGUAUAGAUCCUUUGUUCCAUAUUCAUCAUCUACCAUUGUAAGAUAUGGCUUCCAAGGCCUCCCUGACGGUAUCAGAGUAAUUCUGUGCCUCUCUAAUGAAAUUAAUUGAUGACGGUUGGCCGGCUCGAAACACAACCUCAUUUCUCAUUUUCCGGAUAAUAAACAGACACCCAAAAGUUAAGACUGUAUCCUGAUCACUGAAGACAACCAGUGAGAGAUAUUAUACCGUGACAAUAAAUGGGAUGUACAUCUAAGCUAGACACAAGGAGAUAUGUCUCCUUAGUACUUUCUACCAUUGGAGAUUGCAACUUUACCCCCAAAUAUCAGACUAUCGUUACGUUUUCUCUAUGAAGAAGCCUUGGACACAUCCUUAGUUGACCUAUUGUACUUCAUAUGGCUCUUAACUAAUUGUCCUGCUGCAAUUGCAGACAUAAGCGACAGCUCCCCUGCAAGAACAGCAGACGCUACAAUGGUUGCCAGCGUCCUAGAGUUUGCUCCUGGUGUCUCUUUGCUUGCACCCUUCACUCCAAGUAAGUUCAAACAGGCUGAUUGAGAUGCAAGCUGAGUUCCACCACCAACAGUCCCAACCUAAAAGAUACAGCAACACAGAUUAUUAGAGACUAACAUAAAUACCCAGAUUUUGUUUUGGCAACGAAAGUCCUUGUGUUGGAUAAUCAGACAGCAACACUAUCAAUUACCUCGAUGGAAGGCAUUGUGACAGAGACGUGGAGGUCCUUUCCAUCAUUAACAGCUUCCAUCAUCGUGAUGCAAUGCGAGCUCUCGACAUUUUGAGCCGGAUCUUGGCCGGUAGCUAUGUAGAUUGCAGCAACGAUGUUACUGGCGUGAGCGUUGAAUCCACCCAGAGCUCCAGCCAUAGCUGAUCCAGUAAGGUUCUUAAGCAUGUUAAGCUCAACGAGAGAUUCCACACUUGUCUUCAAGACCUUCCUAACCACAUCACCCUUAAUGGUGGCUUCACAGACAACAGAUUUGCCUCGUCCUUCAAUCCAAUUUACCGCAGCCGGUUUUUUGUCGGAACAAUAGUUUCCUAUAUGCGCAAAUUCAUAAAUAUCAGUGAUCCUAUGUCGGAACAGUGAAAGACAUAAUUACAAGCCUAUACAAAAAACUGAAACUCACCAGAGAUGCCGAUGACAUCCAUGUCAGGGAAAUCAGUUUGAAGGAAAUCCAAAACGUUUUGCACUCCCUUGGAAACCAUGUUCAUCCCCAUAGCAUCACCUGUACUGCAAGUGAAUCUAAUAUACAGAUUCUUUCCAGCAAUUGCACAUUUGAUACCUUGGAGCCUGCCAAAUCUACUUGAUCUGCAACCACCAAAAAGCCAAAAUUUUCAAUAUUAGCUUGAAUUUUAAAUCCAUCAAUAUGGAGUUCUAGAAAUAUCAACACAAACCUGUUGAAAACAACAGACAAGGUCUCGAAAUUAUCAGGGUCCUCCAAAUACAACUUCAAAUCAGCUGCCCUUUUCGCAGUACCGAACCUUACACAUGGAGCUCUAGUCAUACCAUCUUUCAAUAGAACACUUGUAGCUCCACCAGACAAAUGAAUAGCCUUACAGCCCCUAUUAGUGCUAGCCACCAAGCACCCUUCCGUGGUUGCCAUAGGAACCGAGUACUCUCUUCCAUUAACCAACAAAGGCCCGGAAAUUCCAACGGGAAUUUGCACGUAGCCAACCGGCAUCUCACAACACUGCCCCAAAAUCGACUCGUAAUCAAACCCAUCCAAGGGCAAUCCUGAUAACGACUUCCCUGUUAAUCUUUGCAACGCUUCCCGCCUGAUUGCGGCCGCCCUCUUGCAAUCACCCAAUUUCGAUUCCAAGGAAUACGAAGGGGUUGUACCAGCCACUACAGAUUUAAUUAUUUCUUCAUCUUCCUCCGUUAGUACCGUCACAGGCUUUUCAUCGAACACCUUCUGAACGGUCACGAUUGGUGCCGCAGGAGGCAGAGGUGGAAGCGAACAAUCGAGAGCUUGCCCGCAAGGGACCUUACGGGCAUCUUCCUUUGCAAGCAGAACUUCAUCAUCCUCUUCCUCGUCCUCGGCAAUCCAAACGUCAGGCGAUGGUUGGAAAACCAAAGAUUGAACGAAGUCAAUCCCAAAGAAACCCAAAAGGUAAAUAAAGGACGCUAAAAAUGAGAGAAUGGCGAUGAUCUCGGAAAAGGUGACGACAUGGAGAGGUGUGGAGGUACGGAUCUUCUCACGCCAACGGGAAAGAAGAAAAUAAACCACCGAGAAGAAGAGGGUGAAGAACAGGGCAUUCGUUAGGUGCAAGGGAAGCGGCAAUGCGUCGGAGGCUUUACCGUGAUCUUCCUCUAAAGGAAUCUUCUUCGUUGGCUUGAGAGAUUGAACAGGUUUAGUCGAAUACAGCCGGGGAGCCUCCAUAUUGGGUGUCGACGGCGCGGAAGCCCGGCAGUGGAGAAGGAGAAUAGAAGAGGAGUGGAAGUGAGAGAGGAUUUCAGUUAGUUUUACGAUUAUGGUGAAGGUGGAGUUGGAGAUGCUGGAGUUUAGGGAGGGAAGGGGAGUAUUUAUAGGACAGAGAGUAAAGAGUGGUGGAGCGUGAGGAAAAAGGCGCGUGAAGUGAAGUGUUGGGCCCGUGUGAGUGGGGAGUCAAAGAAAGAAUUUGAAGGGCAGUGUUUGCGUGCAGUGCAUGUGCAUGGGGGCGCAUUGCAUUUUCCUUUCGUUUGGUCUUAUCUCCGUUAACUGCUAUUUUGUAUCUCUUUUAAUUAUUCCUUAUUUUGGGCAUUCAUUAAUUAAUAUGAGACCAUAUUUAAACUUUUGAUGAAUGGUAGUGAUAAAUAUAUAUAAUCUCGAAUAUAAAUCGUAAAAUUAACAUUAAAUAAAUAAAUAUAUAUAAUAUAUGUGAUAAAAUUUAUCAUUAGUAAUAUAGAUAAAGAUCACAGUGGAAUUUACUUCUUCGAUAUUUACAUAUUAUUAGUUUUAUAAUUGUUUAUACAAUGUUUAAAAUUAUAUAUAGCUCCUCUUAAAGGAUAAUGCGCACUCACUGAGUUAGGACUCAAUCGAUAACAAUCUUACAAAUUUUAUUUUAUAUAAAAAGAAGAGCUUCCAUUUUUUAUUAAAAAAUUACAGAUACAAUUGUGUUUAUUUUGAACAAAUGAAUUAUUCAUAUGAAUAUACAUUUUAGGGUAAAUAUUUAUAAAAAUUAAUUUUUUAAACUGGUAUGGUGAUUAACUAUUUAUAUUUAGGGUUUUGCACAGUUUUGUAUACGAUGGUGUAUUAAAUCCUGUGAAAAUAUUUCAAUGGAGAAGGGAGAAUUCAGUCUAUGACAUGAAAUUCAAAAUAGGAUGCCUGCUUUAUUAUUAUAAAUAUUGAUUCAUGCCGUCACCAUUAUUAUUUUAAAUCCUCUAAAUGAUUUAUAUAUUUAUAUAAUUUUGGAUAAUUUAAUUUAUCUUUUAAUGGAAAUGUUAAAAAAAUAAACUAUUAAAAUAGUCACUUUUGUUUACCUUAUAUUACAUUUUAGUUGUUGUAACAUUUUAGUCACUGAGCGGUUAAGUGUCAUUAAUAAUAUAAUGGUAAGCUAAUAUGGCAUGUUAAAUCAUCAUUUCAAACAAAAAAUUCAGGUUAAAUUAUACAAUUGGUCCAAUAUUUCUCUGUUUUGAACAAUUUUUUUCUUUAUUUUCCAUUCUCUUUUAUUUCUCUCUUUGUUUUCCUCCCUUUUUCAUUUUUUUAACUUAAUUUUUCUAUGUUUUCUAUUUGUUAAAACUAGUCCCUAUACUUUUAUUUUUUUGAACAUUUUAAAAUUUUUAAUUUUCCUUUUCUUCUUCUCCUUUAGUUUUAACAAAUGAAAAAUAUAGAAAAAUUACAUUAAAAGAGAUAGAAAAGGGAGAAAAACAGAGGAAGAAGUAGAAGAGAAAGAAAAAUAAAGAAAUUAAAAUGCUCAAAACGAAAAUAAUAUGGGGACCAAAUAUAUAAUUUAACCUAAAAUUUUUGUUUGAAAUGAUGAUUUAAUGUGCCACAUCAGCUUACCGUUACAUCGUUAACGGCUCAGUGACUAAAAUGUUACAACACGUUAACAUAAAUGACUAAAAUGUAACAUUUCAAACAUAACUGACUAAAAUAUAAUAAACUAAAGCAAACAAAAAAGUGACUAUUUUGAUUGUUUCCCUUUAAUAAAUGGUUCAUUACAGUAAUAUAUUAAAUUUAUUCUUAUUUUGUAUUAUUUUUCACAUGUGUAAUAUUCUGAUUAUUUUUUAAUGUUUAAUGUACUAACGUUUAAAUUUAUUCCAUCAUAGCCCAAGAAAAAUAAUAAGAAAUAGACGAUAAGAUUGAAGUAAUAUUUUUUCCAAAAUAACAAGCUUGCAUUCAUGCAUGAGAAUUAUUCAUCACCAUGUGCUAAAGACUUGGACUGUUUGUCAAAGUUUUCUUCAGAAAAAUCAUAUAAUUUAUAAUGGAAGUAUAAGCAGAGUCAGACCAACCAAAGAAGAAUCAUGAUAUCAUCUUUUUUUAUUGCCCAGUAUUUAUUUAGCAAAUAUUGACCGUAAUAUUGUCAUGGUCAGACCAUAUUAUUUUUGCACAAGUGACGCACGAAUAUUCAGUGUAGACUUGCUCAAAACAGUAGGAAAUGAUGAACAAGGUCAUUUCGUAGAAAUUGCAGUCAAUGCUCAUAUUUUGGCUUAAUCCAGCUGGAGUUUAGGUAAAAAUUGAUUCAAAAUUGGAUAACUAUAUAUAUAAUAUUGAUAUCAUAAAUAAGUUAUUUUAAUCCAAGUCAGUUCAAUCCAUGAAUACCUUUAAUAUGUAUACAUGAUAUGAUAUGUGAAAAAUGAGCUCAACUCAUGAAUAUUUCUCAUAUGUAUGCAUGCUUGAUGCAUGAUAUGUGGAAAAUAACUUAACUUGUUGUAUAGGUUUUGUACGGAGUAUGGACGGCAUUUAUAAGUUCAUUUUUGGAACUUGUAUUUUAGAGUGCAGUUGAGAACGUAAAUAAGUUUGUUGAAGUUUUCAGGGGGAGAAUUUAGAGGUGAGUAAUCUAGAUCUUUUGGUACAAAGUGAGGUUGCUCUAGCAGGAUGUGAUAAGACUUGAAUCAUUUGGUGUAUUGGGUUAAAAGAUAGUGGAUUUACUUACUAAGUUAGGCUUCACAAAUAAAGUAAAACUAAACUACGUAAACAACCUUUUGUGUUCUUGUUUUGUUGUUUUUGUCACAAUGCUACCUUCAAUUGGCAUAUCGCAAUUGAAGAAGCAAAAGUUUGUCUGGAAGAAGAAAGAUCCUAAGUGCUUGAUGUACAGUGUUUCGGUAAUGGUUGCUUUCAUCACAUGAUAGGUAAUCAUGCAUACUUUUCUAAUUUUGGAGAUCAUCAUAAGGGUCUAGUCACAUUUGGUGAUGGUAAGAAAUGUCAUAUCCAUGGAAACGGAACACUUAAUGUCCUUGGAAUGCUAAAGUUGAAGAAUGUGUUGAAAGGUCAUAUUGUUAAUGACUUGAAAGCUAAUUUGGUGAGCAUUAUCUAAAUGUGUGACUAAGGCAUGAUUAUCAAUUUCACCAAAGACAAGUAUCUGGUUUCAUCAAAGUCUUAUGAGAAGACUAAUGUUUCUAACUUAGAGUUGUGGCAUGAGAAACUUAGCCACAAUCAUUACAAAGGGCUCCGAAGAUUGGUUUGAUAUGUUGCUGGAAUAGGCAACCCAAAACUAGGUGGUGUCAUUCCUAAAGUCCGUUAUGGAUGCUUGAAAGUUAGAGAGGAUCACAUGGAGAAUCAUCAAAGGUUGUCACAUAUCCAAAUUAUUGCAUCUCUCAAGUUACUACACAUAGAUCUCAUUGGACCUAUGUGAAUCGAGAGCAUUGGAGUAAACCGUUAUGUCCUAGUCUAUGUAGAGGACUUUUCAAGGUACACAUGGGUGAGAUUUUUUAGAGAAUUCUAACACAUCUAAAGAAUUCAGGAAACUAUGCAGAAGAUUUUGUCAAUUUUUAUGACGAGGAAAUGAUCAAACUAAGGCACCGCAAUAUAAUGGAGUUAUGGGACACAAGAACCGUACCAUAUAGGAGAUGGCAUGAGUGUUGCUUAACAACAAAAGAGUUACUCAUAAGUUUUAAGUUGAGGCAGUGAACAUUGCAACCUAUAUCUUUAACAAAGUUCUUACUAGGCGAAAAACUCACAUGACACUUUGUAAGAUGUGAAAUGGGAGGAAGCCAAAUGUCAAGUAUUUCCAUGUGUUUAGAAGUACCUUGAUAGGUGUCGAAUCCACCAAAAAUGAAAUCCUACCCCUAAACAGGAUAUAAAUUAGAAGUUUAAGGAGUAAGGUCGAUCCCACAAGGACUAAUUUAUAUGAACUUGUAGUUUGUUAUAACCAGGACGUAUCGUAAGCAGUUUUGUGCCCAUGAUUUAUGCUAACCUAUACGAAAUAGAAAGAAGGAUUAAAUAUGAAUGUAACUAAAUGUCAAAAAUUAAAUAAUAAUAAUGCAAUAGAAAUAAUCAAAUCAGAAUUAAAAUUGAAUAACCUAAUAAGAUGGAUUUUGACUCUGGCUUUGGAUUGAUCCCAAACAAUGGAUUUUUUCCUCCAAUUGAUAAGUCGGGUAUAGUGACCAAGGAACAACCUCAAAUACCAACCCUUUCGUAUGUAAAUUAACUGCGGGAACAACUCUAAGUUAACCCGUACCAGGUAAAUAACACUGAAAGCAACUUCCAUGAUUUCAUUCCUUGACAACCUCGCGAACUAGAGGGACUCAGCUCAAAUUGACAGCCUCAAUUGCAUGGGUCCACACGCCUACUACCUUUUCCAUCUUUGAUUUUCCAAGUUCUUUUGAAGCAAAAUCCAAGGUUUGUUUGAGCCACAGAGCAUCUUGAAAGAGAAGUUGCUAAGUUGAAAUUCUCUCCAAAAUGGCUCGAGGGAAAACAUGAAUCAAUAGCCCCAACUGAUCUAACUGAAGGAGAAGAAAAAGUUGAAUCUGACCUUGAAACUGUAGCAAUUGCUCCUAUAGUGACUAUUUCAGCAGGUCUUGUGAGCAACCUAGCAGGAUUCAAUCAAAGGAUGGUUAGCAUUUUACUGCUUCUAUUGACUCUCAAAAUUGAUUCAUCUCCAAACUUCGAACUGAAAUCCAAGUCAUUCAACAGAUUCGAGAUCAAGAAAUUGCUUUCCGCAAUGAUUUAUUAACUCAUUCCGAACAAUAAUGUUUGACAUAUUUUUAAAAAAAAGGGAAGUAAAGAGGAAGGAGAUGAUGGCUAAGAUGGUGGCAAGUUGAUUGCUCCUACUAAUGGGAGUUUAUUUUACUUUUGGUUAUUACAAGCUUCAUUUCAUUUUGGGUAUUUCUUUUGAAAUAUUUGUAAUGAUGAACUUUUCUAAUGGAUGGAUGGAUUUUAUUUUGGCGUACAAACUCUUAUCUUCAUCUUACUUAGAUAUAAUUUUAGUAUUUAGAUUGUUGAUACAAAUACUUAAAAGGCAUUAAUGGUUGAUUUACUUGAUUAUGUUUUAAGUUAAGUGUGACGGAUAAGGGGAUUGUACUAAGGGGAAGCAUUUUUUGUUACUGUUGAUAAGCUUCCUAAUUUGAAUUGGUUUUGUUCAAAAAAUUGUAGAAGCAAGUUUCAAAAGUGGCCAGCAAAGUGCCAACGGUAGUGGCCACUAUAGAUAGCAUUGCAAUAGACUCUAUUACUAGCCAUGUUUAGAGUUAGCUUGAAAACGAUGAUGAUAUUAUGAAAAUAUGAAAGUCCAUAUUAUAUUAGUUUUUAUUAUUUAUUGCAUUUUGCUAGUUUAGCUGGUGACACGUUCAAUAAAUAUAAUUUUAAAGGUAUUUUUGUUUUUUUAACUGCAAACUGUUUGGGCAAUAAAUUUAUUUCAAAAGUUGCUUUCAAAUGCUUUAAAAGUUACGGUGUAGUUUACACUAUUCUCAGGUUACAUGGCCUGAAUUUGUCUUUAAAAGAAAGGAAAGAACAAAAUACAAAAUGAAUAAAGAAAAAUCUUUCUGUUCUGUAUAAUCUAUCUACUCCCAUUUACCCGUAGGGUGGCGUUCUUCCGUUCAAUUUCAAUGGCAUUGAUAGAGGGCAGCUUCCACAAGAUGAGUUUAAUCAUCGCCAACUAAUCGUGAAUAACCAAUAUUAAUAAAUAAUCUCCAUUCUUCUCAACCGCCAUAACUGCUCCAUCAACCUGCUAUGUCGGGUGAAAUGGGAACGUACACCUGAGCUACACAAAGGGAUAUAUCUCCUUAGUAAGUUUCUACCAUGGGAGAUUGCCACUUUACCCCCAAAUAUAAGGCCAUCAUUACGUUUUCUCUAUGAAGAAGCCUUGGACACAUCCUUACUUGACCUAUUGUACUUCAUAUGGCUCUUGACUAGUUGCCCUGCUGCAAGUGCUGACAUGAGUGACAGCUCCCCGGCAAGGACAGCACCUGCUACAAUGGUUGCCAGCAUUCUAGAGUUUGCUCCUGGUGUCUCUUUGCUUGCACCCUUCACUCCAAGUAAGUUCAAACAGGCUGACUGAGAUGCAAGCUGUGUUCCACCACCAACGGUACCAACCUAAAAGAUACAGCAACAGAUAUAAUUAGGGGGAUUCAUAAAUACCCAGAUUCUGUUUUGGUAAUGAAAAUCCUUGUGAUGGAUAAUCAGACAGCAACAUAAUCAAUUACCUCGAUGGAAGGCAUUGUGACAGAGAUGUGGAGGUCCUUGCCCUCGUUAACAGCUUCCAUCAUAGUGAUGCAAUGAGAGCUCUCAACAUUUUGAGCCGGAUCUUGGCCCGUAGCUAUGUAGAUUGCAGUGACGAUGUUACUGGCGUGAGCAUUGAAUCCACCCAGAGCUCCAGCCAUAGCUGAUCCAGUAAGGUUCUUGAGCAUGUUAAGCUCAACGAGAGAUUCCACACUUGUCUUCAAGACCUUCCUAACCACAUCACCCUUAAUGAUGGCUUCGCAAACAACAGAUUUGCCUCGUCCUUCAAUCCAAUUUACAGCCGCUGGUUUUUUGUCGGAACAAAAGUUUCCUAUAUGGACAAAUUCAUAAAUUUCAGUAAUCCUAUAUAGAACAGUAAAAACAUAGAACACAAUUACAAGUCUAUGGAAAAGUGAAACUCACCAGAGAUGCCAAUGACAUCCAUGUCAGGGAAAUCAGUUUGAAGGAAAUCCAAAACAUUUUGGACUCCCUUGGAAACCAUGUUCAUCCCCAUAGCAUCACCUGUACUGCAAGUGAAUCUAAUAUACAGAUUCUUUCCAGCAAUUGCACAUUUGAUACCUUGGAGCCUGCCAAACCUACUUGAUCUGCAACCACCAAAAAGUCAAAAUUUUCAAUAUUAGCUUGAAUUUUAAAUCCUUCAAUAUGGAGUUCUAGAAAUAUCAACACAAACCUGUUGAAAACAACAGACAAGGUCUCGAAAUUAUCAGGGUCCUCCAAAUACAACUUCAAAUCAGCUGCCCUUUUCGCAGUACCGAACCUUACACAUGGAGCUCUUGUCAUACCAUCUUUCAAUAGAACACUUGUAGCUCCACCAGACAAAUGAAUAGCCUUACAGCCCCUAUUAGUGCUAGCCACCAAGCACCCUUCCGUGGUUGCCAUAGGAACCGAGUACUCUCUUCCAUUAACCAACAAAGGCCCGGAAAUUCCAACGGGAAUUUGCACGUAGCCAACCGGCAUCUCACAACACUGCCCUAAAAUCGACUCGUAAUCAAACCCAUCCAAGGGCAAUCCAGAUAACGACUUCCCUGUUAAUCUUUGCAACGCUUCCCGCCUGAUUGCGGCCGCCCUCUUGCAAUCACCCAAUUUCGAUUCCAAGGAAUACGAAGGGGUUGUACCAGCCACUACAGAUUUAAUUAUUUCUUCAUCUUCCUCCGUUAGUACCGUCACAGGCUUUUCAUCGAACACCUUCUGAACGGUCACGAUUGGUGCCGCAGGAGGCAGAGGUGGAAGCGAACAAUCGAGAGCUUGCCCGCAAGGGACCUUACGGGCAUCUUCCUUUGCAAGCAGAACUUCAUCAUCCUCUUCCUCGUCCUCGGCAAUCCAAACGUCAGGCGAUGGUUGGAAAACCAAAGAUUGAACGAAGUCAAUCCCAAAGAAACCCAAAAGGUAAAUAAAGGACGCUAAAAAUGAGAGAAUGGCGAUGAUCUCGGAAAAGGUGACGACAUGGAGAGGUGUGGAGGUACGGAUCUUCUCACGCCAACGGGAAAGAAGAAAAUAAACCACCGAGAAGAAGAGGGUGAAGAACAGGGCAUUCGUUAGGUGCAAGGGAAGCGGCAAUGCGUCGGAGGCUUUACCGUGAUCUUCCUCUAAAGGAAUCUUCUUCGAUGGCUUGAGAGAUUGAACAGGUUUAGUCGAAUACAGCCGAGGAGCCUCCAUAUUAGGUGUCGACGGCGGCAGAAGCCCGGCAGUGGAGAAGAAGAAUAGAAGAGGAAUGGAAGUGAGAGAGGAUUUCAGUUAGUUUUACGAUUAUGGGGGAAGGUGGAG
rnacentral:lncRNA from 1 species